rnacentral:rRNA from 1 species
UACAGAGGUGGCAAGCGUUGUUCGGAAUUACUGGGCGUAAAGGGCGCGUAGGCGGUCUUCUAAGUCUUGUGUGAAAUCCCUCGGCUCAACUGAGGAACUGCACGGGAUACUGGAAGACUUGAGUUCGGGAGAGGGAAGCGGAAUUCCGGGUGUAGCGGUGAAAUGCGUAGAUAUCCGGAGGAACACCGGUGGCGAAGGCGGCUUCCUGGACCGAUCACUGACGCUGAGCGCGAAGC